rnacentral:rRNA from 1 species
CCAUCAGGUAAUGCUGGGGACUCUAAAGGAACUGCCUACGCAAGUAGUGAGGAAGGCGGGGAUGACGUCAAUCAGCACGGCCCUUACGUCCAGGGCUACACACGUGCUACAAUGGCCGAUACAGAGGGCAGCUACCUGGUGACAGGAUGCAAAUCUCCAAAGUCGGUCUCAGUUCGGAUCGGAGCCUGCAACCCGACUCCGUGAAGUUGGAUUCGCUAGUAAUCGCGCAUCAGCCAUGGCGCGGUGAAUACGUUCCCGGGCCUU